UACGUAGGGCGCAAGCGUUAUCCGGAAUUAUUGGGCGUAAAGAGCUCGUAGGCGGUUUGUCGCGUCUGCCGUGAAAGUCCGGGGCUCAACUCCGGAUCUGCGGUGGGUACGGGCAGACUAGAGUGUGUAGGGGGAGACUGGAAUUCCUGGUGUAGCGGUGAAAUGCGCAGAUAUCAGGAGGAACACCGAUGGCGAAGGCAGGUCUCUGGGCCACUACUGACGUGAGAAGCGAAAGCGUGGGGAGCGAACAGG
rnacentral:rRNA from 1 species